rnacentral:lncRNA from 1 species
AUGUUUGCUAAUGAAAUUGGAUUCACCAUUCGGAACCAUGCACCUCUAAAUGUGAAAAAAUGGAAAGAAGUAAAACCAGAAGAUAGGACAAGUUUGAUCAAAAGAAUAACUACUUAGUACGACAUUGACAUGUCUCUACCUUGGGUUAAGAGAUAUGUGAAUAAAUCUUUUGGAAUAGUGUUUACUAACUUCCGUUAUAAGCUGAAGAAGCAUUUUGAGCAAUUCUC